rnacentral:rRNA from 1 species
UACGGGGGGAGCAAGCGUUGUUCGGAUUUACUGGGCGUAAAGGGCGCGUAGGCGGCCACCGCAGGCCGACUGUGAAAUCUCCGGGCUUAACCCGGAAAGGUCAGCCGAUACUGCGGGGCUAGAGUGCAGAAGGGGCAACUGGAAUUCUCGGUGUAGCGGUGAAAUGCGUAGAUAUCGAGAGGAACACCUGCGGCGAAGGCGGGUUGCUGGGCUGACACUGACGCUGAGGCGCGAAAGCUAGGGGAGCGAACGGG